rnacentral:rRNA from 1 species
UACAGAGGUCUCAAGCGUUGUUCGGAUUCAUUGGGCGUAAAGGGUGCGUAGGCGGCGCGGUAAGUCGGGUGUGAAAGUCCAGGGCUCAACCCUGGAAUGCCGGUGGAUACUGUCGGGCUCGAAUCCGGAAGAGGUGAGUGGAAUUCCUGGUGUAGCGGUGAAAUGCGCAGAUAUCAGGAGGAACACCAAUGGCGAAGGCAGCUCACUGGGACGGUAUUGACGCUGAGACGCGAAAGCGUGGGGAGCGAACAGG